UACGAAGGGGGCUAGCGUUGCUCGGAAUCAUUGGGCGUAAAGAGCGCGUAGGCGGCUAGAUAAGUCCGCUGUGAAAGUCAAGGGCUCAACCCUUGAAUGCCGGUGGAUACUGCAGGACUAGAGUCCGGAAGAGGCGAGUGGAAUUCCUGGUGUAGCGGUGAAAUGCGCAGAUAUCAGGAGGAACACCAAUAGCGAAGGCAGCUCGCUGGGACGUUACUGACACUGAGGCGCGAAAGCGUGGGGAGCGAACAGG
rnacentral:rRNA from 1 species